ACUACUGCAGUUCAAGCAAGGUUUUGGCAAAUUAAAACUUGUCAGAAUCACAGCAAACUUCCCGUUGAUCUGGGUCCACUUAUACUUUCAUUACGAUGCUGUGCUUCUUUCUGAUAUUCCCCUUUGGAUGUCUAAUACUUAAAAACUAGCUCAAGAACUUGAGAGGCUUGAUUCUCCGCACCACUUGGGAGUAGCCAAGAUAUUUCUUUCUAUGGCCUUCUCCUUCCUCCUCCUGCCUUGUUUUUGACUUAGCAUCUGGCAAAACUGGAAAAACCCUGGGACAUAAAAAUUCCCUUAACUGCAUUGUUGCACGCAACAAGAGGCUGCUUCACGUGGUUCUUACGACAGGACCUUGCACAGCCCGUGCUGUGUGAAUAAGGGUGCGGCGCUCGCGGCAGCUGGAGUGUCAGACAGAAGAAAAGCUACAGGUAUGAAUCUUGGAGGCUGAAGCACGAUGCUGCACUGAGCGCUUUUGAAGAACAGUUUCUAGAAAAGGAGGCUGCAGAGAGAACAGAAAGUUGUUACUUUCCUAUGAGGACAUAAAAGGAUUGUUUCAUUCUUUCAGAAGAAAUCAGGCUACGUACUUGCACUCGGGUUUUUGGCCAGAUUGCUCCCUCCCUCCCCUCCUCGUGGGGCAGCACACUAAACGCAUUUGGCUGCUGUCCUUUGACUGCCAGGGGUGCUUCCAUUCCAGUGGCCGUGCAAGUAGCACGGGUGGACAGGGACUGCAGCAGAUUUAAGCUUUUGCUGACAAACAGUUUCAGAACAUAUUUUCUGUCCCUAUAGGUUGCAGUUCAUACGUCAGCUCCCACUUUCAAAAACAGAGCAACAUGUGUUUCUACCAAGUAAAUAUAAUGCAGACAAACUAGACGGUAACUAUUUCAGAAAACUUGGCAGAAGUUCCAUUUAUGCAAGGCUUUCCAAAUGUUCCAUAUUUGCAGAAUAAAGAUGAA